AGGAAAUCAUUCUCUUCCUGUUCCUGGAUGAUGCAGAUUGGUGUGGACUGCAAGUGAGCUAUCCCUGGAAUAGACAAAACAAUGCCUGUCUUCUGCAAGAACACAAACUCUAUCAGGACAUGGUCACUACAGCCCAGAGUACCUCCAGUCUUAAUCUGCAUAAUGAGUUCCUCUGCAGUGGCUGCAUGGGACUCCCCAGCAUUUAUCCACUUGAUCCAAGGUGAAGGUGCUAGGGAGGAGGUCAGCCCCUUUGGAGAGGCUCUGGGGGAGCAGUUUGGUGUGAAAAACAAACAAUUUGCAUGGCAAGAGAUGGUGGCAGUGUUGGAAUACUGCAAAAUUUGUACCAGGUGUGUUGAGCAAAUGCUUACACUAGAACUGAAAGAACACUGUAUGUGUGUUUAUCAAGACCUAUUGAAUCAAUAUGACACUGAAAGUGACAGUUACCUGGAUCGCAUCUAUCUGAGGCAGAUAAGGAAUGACUCAAAUCAACACGGGACAAUCAACAUCACUUUGUGGACAAUUUUACAUUUGAAAGCAUAUCCUUAAGAAUUUUUUGCCUUCGAAUGGGAGGGCCCAGGAUUGUUCAUUGGCUGAAGGCUUGGUCCUGCAACAAAUGGUUCCAGCUUGAUACAGGAGACUUGGAGAUGAUACCACUGUAUCCUGUGAAGACAAGAUACGAGCUGGGGUCUUGCUGCUUCCCCAUAUCUGCUGAUAUAAAUUUCCAAGGCCUGGAGGACAGGAGCAAAGGAGUUCCUGCUGAGAUCCUUGAAGUCAGAAUCUAUCACUCCAAAAGAGCUGGCUUGACCAUUUUGGAUUAUAAGUAAGAGUUUGUACUGUUGUCUUUAGUCGUCAACUGACCAACACAACCUUGUAUGACCCACCACUACUGGAGAUCAGCACCUGACACCAAGAUGCUGCUGGAUCAAGGAGUGGUGAACCGCUUUGCUUUGCUGUGUUUGUAUAUCUGUCUGUCUGUCUCUAUUUCCCCAGUUUUUAUUUUUUUAUCUUCUUUUAUUCUUUUACUCUCUGUAGUAGCCGUUGCCUAAUAUUGUCUUACCUGUAACACUUAUUAAUCAUAACUAGCAAAUUAGCCAAUUUUACCUACAAGUAGAGUAUUAGUUGCUUUUAAGAAAACUCUCAGCAUAUUGAUUUGUACUAUUCCUCUGAGUCUUGGAUAACUCCAUCACAGUAGCAAAGGCUUCCACAUGGAGAGGUGACGUGAAUUCCUCACGGAAGACAAAGUUCAAGAUGCAGCCCUCAGUGGGUAAAAUGAUGUAUGCUGAUGUGCACUGUCUGCUGGGAUAGAAAUAGGGUGAUCCUUAUAGAUUUCCUGGAACCUGGACAAACUAUCAACUCUGACUGCUAUAUUGUCAUGCUGAUUAGCUAAAGGCUUCCAGAGUCAGGCCAGAGAAGAAGAUAAUCUUCCUCUUUUAAACACAAUAGCACCAAACCCCAUACUGGUUUGAAGACUGUGGAAUAUGCUACCAGUGUUGGCUGGACUGUUCUACCAUAUCCACUACGCUGUUCAGAUUUGGAGCCUUCUUCUAGAUAUUUUGGCCAAUAGAAGACAGAUUGUAACAUUAUCCUCGCAAUGACCUUCAUAAAAGCUGUGAAACAGUGGGUCACCUCCACUGGUUCAGAUUUUUAUGAGCACAGCAUGCAGGCUCCUGGUUCUCGCUAGCAAAAAUGCAUAGCUAAUGUUGGUAUCUAUGUUGAAAAAUAGUGUUUUGCAGCUGAGAAUUUUCUCCAUUACAUAAUGUUAUUGAGCUUUUGUAGCUGUUGUCGUUUCCAUGGAAAUAAAUAGGAGGCAUUACUUUUGGAGUAGUCUAUGUAUAUUCUUGAUCCUUGGACAUUCAUUUCUUUUACAACGCUUCCAGAAGAAACCUGUUAUUUUCCAGUAGCAGGAUAGUGGUUACAGUGCUCGUUCAGGAAGGUGCAAAAUAGCAACUGUGACAUUUGGGAAACUUGGAAGGUUUGUGCUUAUCUUAUGAAAUUCCAUUCAUUGGUAAGCAGGAACUGAAUGAUUUUUCAGCAAUAGCAUUUUGGAUUUAGGAAAUACAUUCUCUCUAAG
ensembl:lncRNA